ACGCUCGACACCUACUGGAGGCAGCAGUGGGGAAUAUUGGGCAAUGGGCGAAAGCCUGACCCAGCAACGCCGCGUGAGGGAAGAAGGUUUUCGGAUUGUAAACCUCUGUCCUCAGGGACGAAGGACGUGACGGUACCUGAGGAGGAAGCCCCGGCUAACUACGUGCUAGCAGCCGCGGUAAUCUGAGCGGGCUGGCAAGGC
rnacentral:rRNA from 1 species